AACACGUGAGUAACCUGCUUUCGANANNGGGAUAGCCAUGGGAAACCGUGAUUAAUACCAGAUGAAAUCUAAGCUACACAUGUAGCAAAGAUCAANGCGAAUAAGCGGUCAAAGAUGGACUCGCGUCUGAUUAGCUAGUUGGUGAGAUAAAAGCUCACCAAGGCGACGAUCAGUAGCCGGCCUGAGAGGGUGAACGGCCACAUUGGAACUGAGACACGGUCCAAACUCCUACGGGAGGCAGCAGUGGGGAAUAUUGCACAAUGGGGGGAACCCUNAUGCAGCGACGCCGCGUGAGCGAAGAAGGGAUUCGUUUCGUAAAGCUCUGUCCUNUGGGAAGAUAAUGACGGUACCAUAGAAGAAAGCCCCGGCUAACUACGUGCCAGCAGCCGCGGUAAUACGUAGGGGGCGAGCGUUGUCCGGAAUCACUGGGCGUAAAGGGUUCGCAGGCGGAUAAACAAGUCAAGAGUAAAAGGCAUGGGCUUAACCCAUGUAAGCUAUUGAAACUGUUUAUCUUGAGAUGUGGAGAGGUAAGUGGAAUUACUAGUGUAGCGGUGAAAUGCGUAGAUAUUUAGUNNGGAAUACCAGUAGCGAAGGNGACUUACUGGACACAAACUGACGCUGAGNAAACGAAAGNGUGGGUAGCAACAGGAUUUAGAUACCCUGGNANCCACNCUGUNAACGAUGAGUGCUAGGUGUCGGCNAAAGUCGGUGCCGCAGU
rnacentral:rRNA from 1 species